AACGAACCGUGCGAACGUUGUUCGGAAUCACUGGGCUUAAAGGGCGCGUAGGCGGCCCGCCGCGUCCGGGGUGAAAUCCUCCCGCUCAACGGGAGAACGGCCUCGGAUACGGGCGGGCUGGAGGGGGGUAGGGGCAGGCGGAACUGUGGGUGGAGCGGUGAAAUGCGUUGAGAUCCACAGGAACUCCGGUGGCGAAGGCGGCCUGCUGGACCCCAUCUGACGCUGAGGCGCGAAAGCCAGGGGAGCGAACGGG
rnacentral:rRNA from 1 species